rnacentral:rRNA from 1 species
UACGGAGGGUGCGAGCGUUGUCCGGAUUUACUGGGCGUAAAGAGCGCGCAGGCGGUCAAGUAAGUCGAAUGUGAAAGCCCCCGGCUCAACUGGGGAGGGUCAUUCGAUACUGCUCGACUCGAAGGCAGGAGAGGGAAGUGGAAUUCCCGGUGUAGUGGUGAAAUGCGUAGAUAUCGGGAGGAACACCAGUGGCGAAGGCGGUGGUCUGGGCCGGAACUGACGCUGUAGAGCGAAAGCGUGGGGAGCGAACAGG